UUUUUUUUUUUCUUUUUAGGGCUGCACCUGUGGCAUAUGGGGUCAAAUAGGAGCCAGGGGUCAAAUAGGAGCUGAAACUGCAGGCCUACGCCAUAGCCAUAGCAACACUGGAUUCAAGCUGCAUAUGUGACCUAUGCCACAGCUCACAGCAAAGCCAAAUCCUAAUCCACUGAGCAGGCCAGAGAUUGAACUUAUAUCAUCAUGAAUACUAGUCGGGUUCUUAACCCCCUGAGCCACAGUGGAAACUCCUAUAACAUGCUUUUUAGACUUUAACAAGUAAGUAUCUCAAGAAAUGUUAGAAAUAUUUUUAAAAUAUGAUAUUUUAGGUCUCUGAAAUAAUAAAUAAAAGUUAAUAAAAGUAGACUUGAAAGGAUAUUCUGCCAAAACUCAGGAAAAUUUAGACUCAAAAUAGGUAUUUAUAUCCAGAAACAACAGUUGCUUAAUCAACAGGUGGCCCAAAUUUCAGUAAUUUUGCCCUAAUUUGUGUGCAUUCAAGUGCAAAGACAAGUAUUGUUAUAUUCCUAGACUGUUUUGAUGAUGAUUAGUAAACAAAACAGAUUACAGUGAUAGGUUGUUGCUUGACUCCAAAUUUUGUUGGAUAUAAAAGAAAUCCAAACAGGCAAGGAACAUUGUUAAAGAGUAGGAAUAUCUGAUAAGUGAGAGAAUGUGACAUAGGUGGAGACUCACACAGAUUUGAGGACUGAGAAUCAAUGCAACCUUGCCUUCCCCCAACACCCUUGGCAUGUGGAAAUUUCUGCGCCAGGAAUUGAACCUGCACCAAAGUUGCAACCUAUGCUAUAGCUGGGGGAAUGCCAGAGCCUUAACAUGCUACACCACAAGGGAACUUCCAAUGAAUCUCUCUCUCUCUCUCUUUUUUUUUUUUUUUUGCUUUUAGGGCCACACCUGCGGCAUGUGGAAGUUCCCAAAAUGGGGUCAAAUCAGAGAUGUAGCUGCCUGUCUGCACCACAGCCACAACGGGAACUUCCAAUGCAGUCUUUUUUGAAGGCAACUUGACAGGUUCUUCCAAAAUUUUAAGUAGCAUACCCUUUUAAAGUUAUUAUAGAAAAUACACACACAUGAAAAAAAUAAGAAUGAAAAAUACACAAGUGCUGGAGUUCCCUUUGUGGCUCAGUGGAAAAGAUUCUGACUAGUAUCCAUUAGAAUGCAGGUUCUAUCCCUGGCCUCUUUCAGUAGGUUAAGGAUCUGGUGUUGCCAUGAGCUGCAGUGUAGGUUGCAGAUGCAGCUCUGAUCUGGUGUUGCUGUGGCUGUGGUGUAGGUCGGCGGCUACAGCUCAGUUUCUACCCCUAGCCUGGGAACCUCCAUAUGCUGUGGGUGUGGCCUUAAAAAAAAAAAAAAGAUAUAAGUGAUAAAGAUGAAGGGGGAGGUGCAUGAAGCCAUGCACACAUUUUAGAAAAGUUUGCUGCGGCUUUUGUGAAGGUUACUGCUAGUCACGGGGAGCAGAUACCAUCAUGAAGUGUUUUAAUGUUUUUUUAGAUAUGAGGAGAUGCAAGAAGUGGGUGCAUAAAAUUUUCUCCUAAAAAUAUCUAGUUAUCUGAAGCCCUGUUCUUCCAGUUUUCCCAGAGCACAGAGUGCCUCGCUCCUGGUCUCCACUCUGAGCUCUGCUCAGGGGGUGCUUUGGGUCAGCAGCCAUAGUGGCUCAUGAUUUAAUCCAUGUAGAGGCUGAUGGCAAGUGCCCAAAUCCAAUUCACCGGGAUCAGGCACAGCCUGCCUAGGUUCUAUGUUGACAAGGCUGAAAUAAAGCGGUCAGCCAGACUGAGUUCUCACCUGGAGGGCAGUGGGGAAGAAUCCUCUCACUUAUUCAGGUUGUUGGCUGUGUUACUGUGUUUAUAAGAAAUAUAUAUUUAGUCUCUGUCUGUGAUGUAGGAGUUCCUAAAAUCCUUGCUUAGAAAGUCCUAAGAGAAUGACUAAGUUGUGUUUUGUUAUGUUGAUGAAUCGACUUUUGGACCCCACCUAAGGAUGGGGGCUGUUUUGUUUUGUUUGUUUUGCUUUUUAGGGCUGCAUCCGCAGUGUAUGUAAGUUCCCAGGCUAGGGGUCCAAUCGGAGGAACUGCAGUUCCUGGCUUAUGACACAGCCAUAGCAAUGUGGAUCAAAGCCACGUCUGCAAUGCAUACC
rnacentral:lncRNA from 1 species